UCCCUGGUGGUCUAGUGGCUAAGACUCCGCAUUCCCAAUGCAGAGGGCUGGGGUUCAAUCCCUAGUCAGAAAA
rnacentral:tRNA from 1 species